GCAGGAUGAUGCUUGAUGUUCAGCUUAAGAGCUUCCUCUCCUCACUUCCCACCCCUCUGUCACUUGUAGCUCAUGCCCUAAUAAUACCAGAGUGUUUCCUGUGCACACCCAGCUGAUUCACGUCUCUUUGUCUUUGCUCACAUGUCUACCUCCACCUGGAAGAUAAUUUCCCUUCCCCUGGCGACCUUCACACCACCCUUCUCUCCUCAGAGCAGGCACAGCUGCCCAGGAAACAUUUCUGGUUGAGCCUUCCAUGGGCCCUAACUGCAUUUUACCCUGAAGAUGAAAUGAUCUGUGCUUCUGUCUACCCUCCUUUCUGGACGGUUUUUGCAAUCUCCAGGAACGCCAGGCCACAUGAUUGAAACAGUUGUUCAAUUUUUCUUGCUGAAGAUGGUGAACUGGGUUAAGUUUAGAAACAACCAUAGCUGGAAAAAGUAUGACUUUGUUAGCUGCUUACUUCCUUUUCAGAGAAAAAAUACUUUUCUAGUUUCUUUCUUUAGUUACAAAAAUAAUAUGUGCUAAUUAUAACAAGCCAAUCAAUGGAGAGGCCUGCGGAUAUGAAGUUCAUAGUCAUUCAUUCACUCUUCUGCAGAGUGGCUCCCCAAGGCAGCCAACAUUGACAAGCAGGCUUGUGUGUUUCCACACUGUCUCUUGAGCGAGGCUUAUUUAGUCUACACUUGCCUCCUUUAAAGCUGUUCACAAGCAGAUGAGGAUCAAUCUCGGAUUCUAGAAGGAAGAACCCAGCCCCUACUGUUAGAAGGAGCAGUGAAGGCGGCAGGUCAAAGCACAGCCUGGAGCCGACUGUCUGUGUCCAAAUCCCACUUCACCACUUGCUGCAUAACUGGAGCAGAUGAUUCAGCUUUUCUCUGCCUUAACUGACUCAUGUAAAUGGGGAUAUUAAAAUAUCACAUAUGGAUUAUUAUAUUGACUAGGAAGUUAAUGCAAUACAGCAUGCAUAGCAGUUAGUAAGCACUCAAUAAAUGGUAGAUAUUAUUAUUUUCUCUCUUGUGGGAGCAACAAAAGUGAAAAGAAUGACCCUUUGGUAACUGGGGAUCUGAGUAUACACAGACUGUACCAAUCAUAACCACAAUCACCAAAAAAACUACAUUUGUGGAGGCUUAGUGUUAACACAGUCCCAAAACACUUCAUCUAUUGAUUCCCUUAUAUGGCUAGAAUUUAACAUUAAUUCUUUUUUCAUUUUUCAGGAAUAAUAAAGAACAUCAAUAAAAUUAUAGGCAUAAUUUUUAAACAAUUUUAUUGAAGAAUAAUUAUAUGUAAUAAAAUUCACUGGCCGGGUGCAGUGGCUCAUGCCUGUAAUCUCACCACUUUGGGAGGCCAAGGCGGGGGGAUUACUUGAGGCCAAAGUUUAAGACCAGCUUGGGCAAAAAAGCAAAAGCCUGUCUUUACUCUCUCUCUCUCUCUCUCUCUCCAUAUAUAUAUAUAUAUAUAUAUAUAUAUAUAUAUAUAUAUAUAUAUUUUUUUUUUUUUUUUUUUUUUUUUUUUUUAAAUAGCCAGGUGUAGUGGUGUGCGCCUCAAGUCCCAGCUACUUUCAAGGGGCUGAGGUAAGAGGAUUGCUUGAGCCCAGUAGUUGCAGGCUGCAAUGAGCUAUGAUCCCACCACUGUACUCCAGCCUGGGUGACAGAGUGAGACCUUGUCUCUAAAAAUAAAUAAAUAAGUAAAUACAAAUUUUUAAAAAUAAAAAUUCAUCCAUUUUAAGAAUACAAUUAAAUAAGUUUUAGUAAAUUUACCAAGCUGUGCAACCAUCACCACAACCCAGUUUCAGAACAUUUACAUCACCCUUGGAAGCUCCCUCAUGCCUGUUUACAGUUAACCCCAGUUCCUAUCCCCAGCUCUGGGCACCAUUAAUCUACUACUCUCUGUCUCUAUGACUUUGCUUUUUCUGGACACUUCAUAUAAAUGGAUUAUGCAGUAUGUGGCCUUUUGUAUCUGACUUAUUUCGUUAACAUAAUGUUUUAAAGAUCCAUCUACACUGAAGUACGUAUCAGUAUGUGUUCCUUUGUACUGAGGAACUGUAUUCCACUGUAUGGAUAUACCACAGUUUGUUCAUCCAUUCGACAAUGGAUGGACAGUUGGUUGUGUCCACUUUUUAGCUAUUAUGAAUAAUGUCACUAUGAACAUUUGUGUACAAGUUUUUGGGUGGACUUACGUUUUUAUUUCUCUUGGGUAGAUACAUAGAAGUGAAUAUAGUACAUUUAUAUUUAACUUUUUGAAACUAUUAAACUGUUUUCUACAGUGAUCGCACCAUUUUAUAUUCCCACCAGCAAUGUGUGAAGGUUCUACAGGUCUAAACUUAAAGGUCAAAAUAGAAAGAAGAUCUAAAAAUACAUGAAUUCAAGUGCUGAAUGUCCGUUCUCUGACACUGGUUAUCUUCUAAACUCCCCUUUAAUGAAAGGACAGGGAGAAUCCUUCCCCUGCCUUCCCCAGAUUCUCAUUUCCCAUAUUUUGCUGUUUGGCUAAGUGGGGGCUCCCUCACCUCAUUUAGUCCUGCUAAUUCAGGGAAAGCAACCCUGUGCUCCUCCACUCCUAGCAACCCUAAGAGGCUAUCUAAAGUGGAAAGAACAUUUUACAAAUGCAAAUUCAGUCCUUGGGUAUGGCAAGAGAAGAGUUAAUGCAGUUUGUAAUAAUUAUUGACUACAAGAACUGCAAAUGAUUGCAUAAAAUUUCUAAAAUAUGCCUGCAAGGUUCUCUUAUUGAUGUGUUGCCCCCAGGGGUACACAUAUGGGUUUAAGUGUCUAAACUGUUUUAUUAAUUAAAUUGCUAUGAUUUACCUCUCCCAUGUUAGCAUUUACAGUUUAUGAAACAGCCCUGUAAUUAGAAAAUGAUGUACUAGUGUUGCUUGUUUACUUUGUGGGUGAAAUAUUAUACACACACAGAUGUGUAUGUGUAUAUAUAUACACUCACUUAUAUAUGUUUAUAGACACACACAUGUGCACGCGCGCACACACACACACAAAGUGUUUUUUCUUGGGUCAACCCUCAUAGGCUACUUUAUUUCUAGUCCAAUUAAUAGGCAACCUCCAGUGGUGCAUUAAAUUGGUUUUUAGCGGGAGGGGGAGGAUAACUGAGAAGUUCAUUGUUCCUGCUGAGGUGUGUCAUGGCAUCCAUGUAUGUUUGUUUAUUUUCCCUCCAUAGACAGACAAUUGAAAUCACAAGAAUUUAUUGUAAAAAAAAAAAUCUGUUGAGAACAGCCCUGAGGAUACUUCAGCAAAUCCUAAAACUGUACCUACUUUAAUUAUACAGCAUCUUAUUAUCUUCUGCGUCCAUUCUGAAGGUAUAUGUAGGAAUAUAUAAUAUAAAUUACCUGUGCUACAUAGACAAUGCCUAAAUAAAGUUGUUGUUGAAGUGCUUUUUGUUUGCCUUUAUUUUAUACCUAUUUAUUUGUCCCAUCUACAGACCAUAUUCUGGUGCUGAAUCUGAU
rnacentral:lncRNA from 1 species